UGCCUUACACAUGCAAGUCGAACGGCAGCGCGUCCUUCGGGAUGGCGGCGAGUGGCGAACGGGUGAGUAAAGCAUCGGAACGUGUCCGGUAGUGCGGGAUAGCUCGGCGAAAGCCGGAUUAAUACCGCAUGAGAUCCGUGGAUGAAAGCAGGGGACUCGCAAGGGCCUUGCGCUACUGGAGCGGCCGAUGUCAGAUUAGGUAGUUGGCGGGGUAAAGGCCCACCAAGCCUGCGAUCUGUAGCUGGUCUGAGAGGAUGAUCAGCCACACUGGGACUGAGACACGGCCCAGACUCCUACGGGAGGCAGCAGUGGGGAAUUUUGGACAAUGGGCGAAAGCCUGAUCCAGCCAUGCCGCGUGCAGGAUGAAGGCCUUCGGGUUGUAAACUGC
rnacentral:rRNA from 1 species